AGUAUGUAAACAAAAUCAUGAUUGUGAGAAUCAAUUGAUUUGAGAAAAAAAUGAAAGAGUUGUUGUGUGUGCUCACCGUCUACGUUUUCAUCGUUGUCUGUUCUUCACCAGUGGAUCUUUAAAACAAAAACAUAAAUAAAAACAAAAGCAUGAUUGUGAAAAUCAAUUGAUUUUAAAAAAAAAGAAAUAAAAGAGUUAUUGUGUGUGCUCACCGUCUAUAACUUCAUCGUUGUCUUUUCUUUAGAACAAUUGAUUGUUCUUUUGGUGAAGUAUUGAAAGAGAAGAAUUAUGUGACAGAAGAAAAUGUAUGAUUUUGUUGAUAAUCUGAAGAAGAAAGAGAAACACUGGAAAGAGAUGGUGGAGUAGAGACGUGGCGGUGGUGGUGAUGGAUUAGAAGAUGUGGCUAAAAUUUUUUUAUAUAUUUUUUAAUUAUUUUUGUUAGUAUGUUUCACCGGUAGGUUGAAAAGGGUAAUAUGUCAAUAAUCUAUAAUGUGUACAGUGUAUUUUGAAAAACCAUGAUUUUUAAGUAGUGGAUGAAUUAUAAUUUGUUUGAUGGAUGUAUGAUGCAAUUCCCCUUGAUUUAUUAGAUCAAAUUAUGAUGUAGACUAUAAAAUAAGUCUACCAAGUAGAUUUCUCUGAAGGUCUACAGAUAUUUAGAUUUUUUUGGUUACGUGUAGACUUAUGAAUUACAGAAUCAUAAAAUAAUUUUUUAUUUUUUAUUUGGUCAUAAGAAUUAAAUAAUAUUUUACCAUCUUUUAGGUUGAUUUUGCAUUUUAUUGAAUAUGUGUGCUACUUUUUGAUUUAAAAUGAAUAUUUAGGUUGUUUUUAGCAAAUUCCUCUCGUUUAAAAUUGGAUAGUUACAAUUUUUUUACUGAUUUUCUUUAAAAUAUACUUGUAAUAUAUGCCAAAAAAAAAUAUUGUAUACCAACAUUUUUGUAUCCAAUUAUUUCUAUCAAAAAUUUCGAUUGAGAUUGUACUCCUAUAAUUCAACACUCGACGUUGUUUCAAAUUAGUAAUGCUGAUUUUCUUCUUUUUUUUAAUCUAUACUAUAUUAAAAGGGAUAUAUAAUCAACAGGGAGAGUGUCCACGUCCUCAAUUUAAAUCAGCCAAUAAGAAUUAUUCUUUUUACCACGUAUGCUAUUUUAGCCCAAAACAUGGAAACCAACUUCGAUUGUGAUUCAUCUUCCUCGAUUCCAACUGUUUUUUUUUCUUCAAGUUUUCAUUCUUCAACGCCUCCUACGGUCCUACCUAAUUAGGGUGUGGAAGAGCCGUCUAUUCUCUUCAUCUCUUCGUCUCUUUUUUUUUUUGCUCAAACAUCUCUUUGUCUCUAUCUCUUCCUCUCUGUCUCUCUCUCUAUGUCUCUCUUCCAAUGAUGAAUCCACAAGGCCAUCCCGAACCUGAUUCCGAACCUCCUCCGACGAUACCUUCGAGUCGGUGGGUGUUGAGAUGAGGAAUGGUGAAGAAACUAAAUGUGUUUUUCCCUUGACGAGUCUCCUUUGCGGUUUGGUGGGUUGAUUGAAAAAUCUUUGAUAGUUUUCAGAGAAGUAUCAAUUUUUAUUGAAUUGCCUUUGUUGGUUUGUGAGGUUUGUUCCUCUGUUUCGCCGCCGCAGAAGGAGAGGUUUAUCCGAGGAAUAGGAAAGUUUGAUCUGCGGCAACGAGAUGGAAGAAGCUUGGUUUCGUCUGUGUUAUCUCUCUCAAACUAGAUUUGAUUUUGAAAUGGCUUGAGGAGAUGAGAAAAGAGGACGAGGAGAGGAAGGUUUAUAUAAAAGGAAGGACGAAGGGUGAGAGAAAAGAAGUAACUUCGAAAUUGUCAUUCACCCUCCAAAAACGACUACGUCAAUUAUGGCAGUUGAGCCGCUCAUUUUCUCUUUAAUUAUCAAUAGGGUGACACAAAGGGAUCAGCAAAAGGUGGGGAUGCAAAUUCAAAGAAAGAGGUCAAUCAAGCCAAAAUGGCCAGGUACAGACACCUGGUCUUCCCUAUACUCGAGUUCCUUCAAGAGCAUCAACUUUACCCUGAUGAGCAGAUCCUCAAGUUCAAGAUCGAGCUUCUGAACAAGACCAACAUGGUUGAUUACGCCAUGGACAUCCACAAGAGUCUCGACCACACAGAAGACGCUCCCCAAGAUAUGGAGGAAGCGGCUGCAUUGCUCGUGACGUUCCUUUUGAACCCUAAUGCUGUCCAGGAGCUAAGAGGUGAUAAGAAAUACAAUCUCCAGAUGCUGAAAGAACGUUACCAGAUUGGUCCAGACCAGAUUGAGGCGUUGAAUCAGUACGCCAAGUUUCAGUUUGAAUGUGGGAAUUAUUCAGGUGCCGCUGAUUAUCUUUCCAGUACAGGACUCUUUGCUCUAACCUUGAGAGAAGUAUGAGUGCCUUGUGGGGGAAGCUAGCAUCUGAGAUAUUGAUGCAGAACUGGGACAUUGCGCUUGAAGAGCUCAACCGUCUCAAGGAUAUUAUUGACUCAAAACUGCUGUUGGGUUGCAGAAGUCACGAUUCUGGUGUGAGCCGCUUGUUCCCAGAUGCUCGAGGAGACACUAUAUGUAAAGAACUCACACAGACACCGCAAUCUCAUUAAGUAUCUAAAAGACUAUAUUGACUUCAUUUCCACAAAAUAUCCUUUUUGGAAUCGAACUUCUGGAGCUGAUCAUUUCCUUGCCGCCUGCCAUGACUGGGUUCCAUCGGAGACACGCAAGCAUUUUUCCAAGACUAUAAGGGCGUUGUGUAACUCGGAUGUUAAAGAAGGCUUUGUCUUUGGAAAGGACACAUCUCUACCGGAGACAUACGUUAGAUAUCCCAAGAAACCACUAAGUAACAUCGGUGGCAAGUCUGCGUCCAAAAGGCCAACAGUAGCUUUCUUUAAUUUGCUGGUCAACCCGAUCACGGGUACGUUAGGCCAAUACUACUCUCUUACUGGGGUGAACAACAAAGAUCCUGACCUGAAAAUUUUCGGGAAGCUUCUGAGGUCUAAAGGAAACAAGAACUAUCUUCAGUUCAUGAAGACGAGCAAAUACUAUUUUCUAUGGUUGUGUUCCAGUAAUCAUAUCUGAUAACUUUGUGCCACCUUUCUUCGAGGUUUUGAAGUGGGAGUCGUUUGCGGUUUUUGUGUUGGAGAAAGAUAUACCCAACUUGAAGAAGAUUUUGAUGUCUAUAUUGGAACGUAGGUAUAAGCAAUUGCAGAUGAGAGUGAAGAGAGUACAGAAGCAUUUUUUUGUGGCAUGUGAAGCCUGAGAAGUAUGAUAUGUUUCACGUGAUUCUUCAUUCUGUUUGGUUUAACCGAGUUUUCCAAAUUUCGGUUUAGAAGUUCUUUAUCAAACAAACAAUUCAUUUA